rnacentral:rRNA from 1 species
ACGAACGUUGGCGGCGUGGAUUAGGCAUGCAAGUCGAACGAAGCACGGGGGGCAACUCCUGUGACUGAGUGGCGAAAGGGGCAGUAAUGCGUGGGUAACCUACCCUCCGGACCGGGAUAGCUUCGGGAAACUGAAGGUAAUACCGGGCGACGUAACGGGAUCGCAUGGUCCUGUUACCAAAUGGCCAACCGCCGGGGGCGGGGCUCACGUGGUAUUAGCUUGUUGGUGAGGUAACGGCUCACCAAGGCUGAGAUGCCUAGCAGGUGUGAGAGCACGACCUGCGCCACUGGCACUGAGACACUGGCCAGACACCUACGGGUGGCUGCAGUCGAGGAUCUUCGGCAAUGGGCGCAAGCCUGACCGAGCGACGCCGCGUGUGCGAUGAAGGCCUUCGGGUUGUAAAGCACUGUCGAGGGGGAGAAGGGUCCGUAAGGGCUUGACCUAUCCCUGGAGGAAGCACGGGCUAAG